UGAGUUAUUCCAAAUUUCAAAUGGAGAACAAGCACCACAAAUUUAAGCACAUUAAAGAGGGGCAGGCCAGUGUAUUGUAGAAGGUGCACAGAUGUCCAGAGACUAGAAAACUUGCAUGGAAGAUUAGGAAGGAAAAGUAGAAAGAUAAGCCAGAUAUAGAAAGAAAAUGGAAGGAAAAAAGCAUCAUAGGAAAUAUUGAACCAUAUACUCCCUCCCCGCUCCAGUGAAAUCAUGCUGCAGAUGUCCAGAGCAGCCCUGCGUUGGUUUAGCUGGUUUAGCUGGUUUAUGCUGGGUGUGUUUGGAGGUGUUCACAUGUUCUCUUCCACCCAAAGUGCUAAAAGGUUGCAACACCCUGGUUUUCACGGGGCCAAGCUCUGCACGCUGUCAUGUAGACGUGCAGAGCUCUGUUUUUUUGGUUGAACAUCUCCACGUUUGUGUCAAACCUCAUAGCACCAGAAUUAAAAGCAAACCAAUAUAAACCACAACACAUAAGAACAAGGUGUACGAGCUGCUGCUGCGGGUGGCCAGGGGCAUGCAGUGAGAGGAGUGCACGGGUGGUCACAGCACGUAGCCAAAAUGUCAUCUGGCCCUGUGGUCUUGGGGUUUUUACAUCUCACUGAGUUUCACUCAGCAGAAUUUUGUACAGAAUUCCCUAGGUUUCUCAUUUCUGCUCUCCAUUGUACCCUUGGUAACAGUGCAAGGGGAGAAAUGACCAAAAACCUCAUCCUACCGAGCAGUUCCUUGGGGCCCCACCACAUGAGCUCUAUCAUGAAAGUCUUUUUUUGUUAUUUUGUUUUAAAGCCGGGGCUUGGGGAGCUCUGCAUAGUUGGAGUUUGGCUGGUCACCGUGGGCAGGUCAUUGUUCCGGCUGCUUGAGGUGCUGCAGGUGUGCCGUGCUGCAUGCAGCAAAGGGUGGCCUGCUGGUGGUGAUGGUCCCUCUGCUCUCAGGUGCCUGUGUGAGGCCAUCUGUGUGCAGCAGAAGACUUGCUCUACAGCUAUCGCAGAUGAGUUCUUCCUUCAGCUGAAGCCCCACGUCAGACCAUGCGGUGCCUCUUGCUGGAGCGGUGAGUGGCUCAGAGGGCAUGGCACGCACAGCGUGUGCCAGAGCCUCGCUAGUGAAAAACAGCAGCCCCGGGGGGGUCACUGGUACAGGGCACCCCAUGACACUUCAUCACCCCCCCUGCUUUUACUCGCAUCCUGAAUUUUAAACACCCCCAAGUACUAAUGACUUCAGGUCUGCUCCUAAAAGAAACCUGAGAAGAUUAAAACUGCAAUAGCAGUGAUAGACUCAUCUGUAAUAAAAGUCAAGGGCCCCGUUAACCA
rnacentral:lncRNA from 1 species